CCCCCCCCCCCUCCCAAACACACCAAAAAAAUUCAUUGUUUGUGAAUUCGGAUACGAAUAUGCUCGUUACAAGUUCAUCUUCAUCCUAAAGUGUGAUGGAGAGAAACAGUUUCAGGGUGGUGGUGUUGGUGGGAUUUUGCUGGUUUUUGUUGUUUGCGGUUUUGAAGUCACGAGGCGCAACGAGGCAAGAUGGUUUAGUUGUCAACUAUGUGAGCAAGAGACGAGUGCCAAAUGGCCCUGAUCCAAUCCACAACAGGAGAACAAGAAACACGAGGCAACCUCCUGAUCGCGCCUAGGCAAAGGACAUGUCGAUUUCCUUUCGAUUCUAGAGAUCCAUACGCGUUUAUAUUGCUUGUUUUGUUGUGUAGAAUUUACAUGAAGAAAGGUAGUUUAAUGGAUGUUAAGUUUUUUUUAAAAGUUUUGCAUGAAUUAAUCCAAAUAUUGUAUUAAUGUUUA